rnacentral:rRNA from 1 species
UAGGGAAUAUUGGGCAAUGGGUGAGAGCCUGACCCAGCCAUGCCGCGUGCAGGAAGACGGCCCUAUGGGUUGUAAACUGCUUUUGUAAGGGAAGAAAAAGGUCCUGCGGGACCAGUUGACGGUACCUUACGAAUAAGCACCGGCUAACUCCGUGCCAGCAGCCGCGGUAAUACGGAGGGUGCAAGCGUUGUCCGGAUUUAUUGGGUUUAAAGGGUACGUAGGCGGAUGCUUAAGUCAGUGGUGAAAGCCUGCGGCUUAACCGUAGGAUUGCCUCUGAUACUGAGUAUCUUGAGUGCGGUAGAGGUGGGCGGAAUUCAUGGUGUAGCGGUGAAAUGCAUAGAUACCAUGAGGAACACCGAUAGGGAAGCCAGCUCACUGGACCGUAACUGACGCUAAGGUACGAAAGCGUGGGGAGCCAACAGG